UCUUCCCGCCGUUCCAUUCAACGACGACCUCGAAUUGGAUUCCUGGUCGUCUUGCUCCCUCCUCUCUCUCUCACUCUACCUUUCUGUUCCCAUCCAUCUCUCUCUUCGCAGGUUAGGUAUCUACUCCAAUCGAGGAGCUGAAUAGUUUACAUGAAGAACAUCGUUGGAUUGAAGCCCUAGGAGCGGGACUUCGAGAUAUUUCAUCGUUUAAUGGUUGUUGCUUUUCGGAGGUUUCGUUUGGAGCUCGGAAUUCUUCGCUGUUCUGCACCUAUUGAAUGGAUAGUGAUGUUACUAAAGUUGAUCGGGUGCCGAAGAUUCCCUGCGAACCAAAGGUACAUGCUGCAGUCUGCUGUGAACUCGUGAAGGUUUUGGAAAAAAUUUGUUGCAUUCUUCCUGCUAUAGAAUCAGCUCGACCAGGAAGCUCAUCUGGAAUACAAGUGUUAUGUACUCUGAACAAUACGGUUGAAAAAAGCCAGCUGCUCGUUCGUUACUGUUCAGAGUCCAGUAAACUAUAUUUGGCUCUCACAACAGAAUCUAUUGUUUUGAGAUGUGAAAGAAUCCGAAGUCAACUGAUUCAAUGUUUUUGUGAAAUCGAGACAAUGGUUCCAACACGGUUGGCAUCACAGAUUGCUGAAUUUCUUGAUUAUCUCAGAGAAGUAAAAUUCAUCAUUAAUCCUGUAGAAGAGGAGGCAGGAAAAAUCUUAUCUAACCUUCUGGAGCAAAUCAACUCAAGCGAAGACCAAGAAUUGGGUGCCUUCCAAAAGGUAGCUUCAAGGUUAAACAUCACAUCUUCAAUAGCUCUUUUGGUAGAGAGAAGGGCCAUAAGAAGGCUUCUGGAUAAGUUUCAUAAUGUUAAUGAUAAAAAAAAGAAAAUACUAAUGUAUUUCCUUUAUCUCAUUAAGACUUAUGAAAAGAAAUUAAGGCCUGAUACAUCGGAACGAAGAGAGUAUGUAAAUUUGCAGAAUAACCCCUUAAAAGAUAAUGUUGAAGUUCAAACUGAAUUAAUCAGUGGUGACUCACCUCCUGAAGAAUUCUAUUGUCCGAUUUCAUUAAGUCUAAUGUUUGAUCCGGUCGUCAUAGCUUCUGGAAAAACUUACGAAAGGAUUUUUAUCGAAAAAUGGUUUGGCGAGGGGCACGAUACAUGCCCUAAGACUCGGAAAAAAUUGGAAAAUUUUUCUGUGGUUCCUAAUUCAAGCAUGAAGGAUCUUAUUUCAAACUGGUGCAGAAAGAAUGGCGUCUUUAUUCCAAAUCCUUGCACCCAGCUUGAAGACACAGACAUUCAAGCAUUGGAGUCCAUUUCCAGCAGCUCAGUUUCAAGUUUGAAAAACAUUUCUACAGUAUUGUUGGAUGGAACCAAAGGAGACUACUUUUUAUCUGAAAGUGAGAAAAAUAUGUCAUCUUUGACGUUUGGUUCUCGUUGUUCUACAGAUUCAUCUCAUGUUAAAGACAUCGAGGGCUCAAACAAUAAUUAUGUGAAAUUGUUCUCCUGGAGUGAAGAUUACCAAAAUUAUCAAUCUUUUUCAAAAUUUAGUCAGGAUAUGUAUCUGAGGUUCUUAUUUCGUUUCUCUGAGCUUCCAACUUUACUCCAAGUUAAAGCAGUGGAAGAAAUAAAAGACUUACUGGAAGGCGAGGAAAUGGACCAAUGCGGCCUCCUCUCUAGUGGGUUUGCUGAAGCACUCAUGGUAUUUCUGAAGAAAGUAUGCUCAUUAUCUGAUUUUCUAGCGCAAAGAACAGGAGCUCAAAUAUUUCUUGCACUUUUGACUAAUCAGAGAUGGGAGCUUAAUUUCAAAAUUGAAGAUGUGAUUCAAAUUCUCUCUUCUCUUCUUAAUUGUGGUAUAGACCGUGAAGCCUUAAUGAUUCUGCAAAAAGUUUCUAUUCAUCCGGACUUUGUGCCACAUAUUGUCUCAUCCAGUAUUCCACUCAAAGUCAUAAAAUUUAUAAAUUCUGAGAACAGCGAACUUAUUGAGAUUGCCAUGAAGAUCCUCUCAGAGCUCUCAUCUAAUGGCGAAAUGAGAUCUCUCUUUCUUUGUUCUGGAUAUAUAGAAAAAAUUGGUCAAUUUUUGUGUGUUAAAAGUCUGGGAAAAUUUAGUUUAAAUAUUCUGGAGAAUCUUGUUUGCGAUGAAGAGGCUUUGAUGCUUAUCGCUGAUUGCAAUAGCUGCAUUGCUUCCAUAGCUGAAGUUCUUGAAUUCGGUGGACCCGAGCAGGAACAAGCUGUUGCCAUCUUUCUUUCCCUUUGUUCUCGCAAUUUGAGAAAUUGCCUACUUGUUUUGAAGGAGGGGAUUAUUCCAUCUCUUGUAAAUAUUUCUGUGACUGGAAGUGAAAAGGGAAAGGAGAACUCUCUUAAGCUACUCCAUGUUUUGAGAGAUACCAGAAAUAUUGACUUUGAUGAGAGCCAAAAGCCUUAUUUUGAACCUGAAUCUGAAUUUGUUGAACAUCCAGUGAAGAAAUCCAAAAAAUUAGAAUUAAAAUACAGGUCCUUUGGCUUUUUUAGUAGGAAAAUGAAACUGAUAUCAAAAUCCCUGGCAUUUUUCUGAAUCACCCUCAAUUUUUAUCAGGCCAAGAAGCUUGACCGAGAGCUAUUCACUGCAGAGUUGCAUUUCCUCAUAUAUCGCCCAGGCACACAACAGGGUACAAGCAGCUCCGGGAGAGACAGAGGGAGAUGACUAGCCAGAUCUCAUUGUUUGUCUCCAAUGCUGGUAGCCAGUCUACCGCAGCUCAAUUCGAUUUUGAGUUGUGGACGCGGGCGGCGGGGAAGAAGGGAAGAGUGUAUGGUCUCAGAGCCAAGAGGAUAGCAUUUGAGGCCGAACGUUCCCGUGUAGUUGUGGGUUGCCCUAGCUCGUUACAGGCUCAUCAUGAUGAGCUUGCUAGGAGGAUUAUGAUGAUAAAUAAAGAGCUUCGAUUGAUGCAUGAAAUCCAACAGUUGGUUGUAGAUAGUCUGCACUCAUGACAGAGAGUUUUGAUCGUCGGAGUAAGUGACGUGUUUCUAGUUGAGGAGGAUGAGGAGUGGGAUGAUGAUGAGAAGGAAGAAUAGGAUUUUUUUUUUGUGUUUGAUGAUGUU